AUGCACCAAGGAUACCUCAUCUUCAGUGCCCUCCUGGGGCAGCUGCUGGGCUCUAUGGGGCAGGUCACUGUGACCCAGAAAGAAGAACAAGUCAUAGUCAACCAGAGAGACAGCUUCCAGACCACCUGCACAUACAAGACCUCUCUUUUUCGAGGCUUGCUCUGGUACCAGCAGAAGAAAGGCCAAGCUCCCCAGCUGCUCUCCUAUCAUGCAGGAGCUGGCUCCAAGCAGAGCGGCCGUCUCACCACGUUGCUGAACACCACGGGCAGAUACAGCCUCCUGCAGCUGGAGGAAGCCGAGCUCUCUGACAGUGCCUUGUACCUCUGUGCUGUGCAAGACACCCUG